rnacentral:rRNA from 1 species
CCUACGGGAGGCAGCAGUAAGGAAUAUUGGUCAAUGGACGCAAGUCUGAACCAGCCAUGCCGCGUGAAGGAUGAAGGCCCUCUGGGUUGUAAACUUCUUUUAUCUGGGACGAAAAAAGGGGAUUCUUCCUCACUUGACGGUACCAGAGGAAUAAGCACCGGCUAACUCCGUGCCAGCAGCCGCGGUAAUACGGAGGGUGCAAGCGUUAUCCGGAUUUACUGGGUUUAAAGGGUGCGUAGGUGGGUCUGUAAGUCAGUGGUGAAAUCUCCGAGCUUAACUUGGAAACUGCCAUUGAUACUAUAGGUCUUGAAUUGUCUGGAGGUAAGCGGAAUAUGUCAUGUAGCGGUGAAAUGCUUAGAUAUGACAUAGAACACCCAUUGCGAAGGCAGCUUACUACGGAUUGAUUGACACUGAGGCACGAAAGCGUGGGGAUCAAACAGGAUUAGAUACCCUGGUAGUCCACGCCCUAAACGAUGGAUACUCGACAUACAGCGAUAUACUAGUUGGUGUGUGAGAGAAGAGAUAAGUAUACCACCGUCGGUAAGGUACGACCGACGAGUAGUUAAAGUUAAAGUAAGUUAGAGGCGNGAGAGNGCGACGGACGACGACGAGGGAGGAGG